rfam:Janthinobacterium sp. B9-8, complete genome.
CGGGGCGUAGCGCAGCCCGGUAGCGCAUCUGCUUUGGGAGCAGAGGGUCGUGAGUUCGAAUCCCACCGCCCCGA